ACUUCUAAGUCACAGAAAAAGGCCAGUUUGGAUCUGUUGAGUCCAGAAAAUAAUAUUUCUUGGAGCAGUUACAUGAAAAAAAGUAAGCUGAUACUUUGUGUUUCUUUGAUUACAAUACAUGCCUGGAAGUGUAGAAUCUUUCAGCUCUAGCUUCCAGAGCACUGCAGAAAGACUCCCCUCCCCCUGCCCUUCAUAAACUGCAGGAGAGAAGAGCCCCUCCAUAAAAUGGGGAAAUCAUUUGCAUUCAGACCUACGAUCUUUUGGGUUUGCUCCAUAGGUGGUCUCCUAGAUCAAAGUUCACUGUCCCCCGCUGUGUUUCAUUUCUGUCCCUGUACUUUCAGAGUUGCAGUUUAAAAAAUAAAUAAAAAGAAAACAAAUAAAACUCAUGAUCAUUGUAAGUUUAUGGGCAAAACUGAACUUGUUUAAUCCCCACAUAGUCUCUUGGAAGUGAUUUGUUCACUGAAAGAUCGAAGUACUUGUGUUUAAUUAGCUGACGUGGUUUUCAUCCAUUGGAAGCACCUAUUCUCUUGCUCUUCUUUUUGCUGCUUGGCUGGAUGGUCGCAAUGAGGAAAUGCCACUUGACGGGUUUUUUGGUAAGGUUUUACCUUCUUCAGGCACUUCGCAAGUAGUCGUAAAGAGAACUGCACUGGCUGCUCGCCCUUUCAGUAAAAGUUAGUUUUAUCUCCUCAGUGCUUAAAGCAUUCACUACUGCUUCAGAUGCUUGAUCCUGAUUUCAUGGGAACCGUCACUGUUUCCUUUACAAACAGUGCCAUAAACUACUCUUCUUCCUUGCGGUUAGUUGUUUUUUCUUCAUAGGACUUGAACUGAUGAGGCAGUGAAAACACCCAACCACUGUACAUACAGAAUUUUAACUGCCAGCAAAAGUUAACUCCUUUUCCAGCUUGCGCAGAAGAGACACCUACUGCAUCUCAGAGGUUCAAACUGGAAAUGCCUCAAGCACAUAGGCACUGCUCAGAUCAGCUAAGAGUUUUACGUUAAGAUUACAAGCUGGAAGCAGUAGUUUGCCACGCCCACCAUAGAACUCAAGUUCCAAAAACACCGUGAUUGCUGAACCAUCAACAGAGACUGGCAUGGGACAUCAGCUUUGCGUUUUGUGAGUCCUCAGUCCCAUAGGGACUUGCUGAGAAGGCUACUUGUUAGAGCUACUCAGCGAUUUCAGCAAAAGCUGCUGAAUUACAGUUGGGCUUGGACUUACUUAGACAUCUGAGCUGCUCCCUUGUCACCAUCUAAGCUCCUGCCAAGAACACUAAGUUGGUAUUCCGCUGGUGGAUUUGUGCAGCAUUAAGAUCUGACAUAUGAUAGUCUUUAUACGCAAGCUCUGCAUGAAAAAGAUGAAAAGAAGAAAAAUUUCUCUUUGUUUUCAACAGUGCACUCAUCCCUGUUCAGUCUCCUAAUGAA